CGGGGUGAGUAACGCGUGGGUAACCUGCCUCAUACAGGGGGAUAACAGUUAGAAAUGACUGCUAAUACCGCAUAAGCGCACAAAACCGCAUGGUUUGGUGUGAAAAACUGAGGUGGUAUGAGAUGGACCUGCGUCUGAUUAGCUAGUUGGAGAGGUAACGGCUCACCAAGGCAACGAUCAGUAGCCGACCUGAGAGGGUGACCGGCCACAUUGGGACUGAGACACGGCCCAAACUCCUACGGAAGGCAGCAG
rnacentral:rRNA from 1 species